GCUGGGUGUGGUGGUGCGCACCUGUAGUCCCAGCUACUUGGGAGGUUGAGGCAGGAGAAUCACUUGAGCUCAGGAGGUUGAGGCUGCAGUGAGCCAUGAUCAUGCCACUGUACUCCAGCCUGGGUGACAGAGUGAGACCUUGCCUCAA
rnacentral:SRP_RNA from 1 species